rnacentral:rRNA from 1 species
AUUGAACGCUGGCGGCAGGCUUAACACAUGCAAGUCGAGCGGGGGAAGGUAGCUUGCUACCGGACCUAGCGGCGGACGGGUGAGUAAUGCUUAGGAAUCUGCCUAUUAGUGGGGGACAACAUCUCGAAAGGGCUGCUACUACCGCAUACGUCCCACGGGAGCACGCAGGGGAUCUACCGCCCCUGCGCUCAUAGAUGAGCCUAAGUCGGAGUAGCUAGUUGGUGGGGUAAAGGCCUACCAAGGCGACGAUCUGUAGCGGGUCUGAGAGGGUGAUCCGCCACACUGGGACUGAGACACGGCCCAGACUCCUACGGGAGGCAGCAGUGGGGAAUAUUGGACAAUGGGGGGAACCCUGAUCCAGCCAUGCCGCGUGUGUGAAGAAGGCCUUAUGGUUGUAAAGCACUUUAAGCGAGGAGGAGGCUACUCUAGUUAAUACCUAGUGAUAGUGGACGUUACUCGCAGAAUAAGCACCGGCUAACUCUGUGCCAGCCGCCGCAGUAA